rnacentral:rRNA from 1 species
GAUGAACGCUGGCGGCGUGCCUAAUACAUGCAAGUCGAGCGAACAGACGAGGAGCUUGCUCCUCUGACGUUAGCGGCGGACGGGUGAGUAACACGUGGAUAACCUACCUAUAAGACUGGGAUAACUUCGGGAAACCGGAGCUAAUACCGGAUAAUAUAUUGAACCGCAUGGUUCAAUAGUGAAAGACGGUUUUGCUGUCACUUAUAGAUGGAUCCGCGCCGCAUUAGCUAGUUGGUAAGGUAACGGCUUACCAAGGCAACGAUGCGUAGCCGACCUGAGAGGGUGAUCGGCCACACUGGAACUGAGACACGGUCCAGACUCCUACGGGAGGCAGCAGUAGGGAAUCUGCCGCAAUGGGCGAAAGCCUGACGGAGCAACGCCGCGUGAGUGAUGAAGGUCUUCGGAUCGUAAAACUCUGUUAGUAGGGAAGAACAAAUGUGUAAGUAACUAUGCACGUCUUGACGGUACCUAAUCAGAAAGCCAGGGCUAACUACGUG